rnacentral:rRNA from 1 species
UACGAAGGGGGCUAGCGUUGCUCGGAAUCACUGGGCGUAAAGCGCACGUAGGCGGAUUGUUAAGUCGGGGGUGAAAUCCUGGAGCUCAACUCCAGAACUGCCUUCGAUACUGGCGAUCUCGAGCUCGGGAGAGGUGAGUGGAACUGCGAGUGUAGAGGUGAAAUUCGUAGAUAUUCGCAAGAACACCAGUGGCGAAGGCGGCUCACUGGCCCGAUACUGACGCUGAGGUGCGAAAGCGUGGGGAGCAAACAGG